AUGUUUCGUCCGGCAUUGGGCGCCGUGGGGAGGAUCCUGCUGCGCGGCCAGGCCACGGCGGCUCGGUCGCUGUCGAGGCCGGCCGGAGCUAGCAGGCUGAGACACCUACACUCUCAGCAGAGCAAUGUUGGGGAUGCUGCAGCUACUGCUGGCCACCGCUUUGGCUUUCUUCGCAGGUCUAUGAAACUAGCUGCAUGGUCCGGAUAUGUUGGUUUUGGGGUUUGGACCUGUAUGAAGGUGGCAGACAGGAUUCAACAUGAUUUCGUCUCUUCGGUUGUACCGUCAGAGAUUGACUGGGUUAAAGCUGGCGUCGUCUCUCCGGUUGUCAGGAAACAAAACGGUUGUGGCAGCUGUUGGGCGAUGGUUGCUGCAGCCUCAGUCGAAGCUCUACAUUACAUGAAGACCUUGAAGUCGAUCUCGUUGUCGGUUCAAGAGCUCAUCGAUUGUGACACAGAGAGUCAUGGGUGUCAGGGUGGCCACGAAGAAAAUGCUUUCAGAUAUAUAAGCAAAAAUGGACUCUCGAGCGAAUCCGACUACCCAUACAUGGCUCGGAGGAGUAAAUCUGGUUGCAAGAGAAACAAAACAGCAGCAGCAAUAAGGAUAUCAGGCUUUCGAUUUGUCAACCCAACUGAGGAUGCUCUAGAGAAAGCGGUAGCGAAGCGUCCCGUGGUGGUCACUUUGCAGUUUUUCGAUGAUCUGUAUGAGUACAAAGGAGGCAUCUUGGAUUGUAAAGCUGUCAAUGGAAAGACCGAUCGCUUGCAUCCUGUCCUGAUUGUCGGUUAUGGCACAGAUUCCAAUGGCAUCAAGUACUGGCGCUUCAAGAACUCGUGGGGACCAAACUGGGGUGAGAAGGGCUUUGGGAGGAUCCGCAGGCAUGUUGAUGACAAGCGAGGUGUGUUAGGUAUCUUCAUGGAACCAGGAGUAUAUCGGGUGCUCGAGGACUGA
rnacentral:rRNA from 1 species